GAGUUUGAUCGUGGCUCAGAUUGAACGCUGGCGGCAGGCCUAACGCAUGCAAGUCGAGCGGAUGAAGGGAGCUUGCUCCUGGAUUCAGCGGCGGACGGGUGAGUAAUGCCUAGGAAUCUGCCUGGGUAGUGGGGGAUAACGUCCGGAAACGGGCGCUAAUACCGCAUACGUCCUGAGGGAGAAAGUGGGGGAUCUUCGGACCUCACGCUAUCAGAUGAGCCUAGGUCGGAUUAGCUAGUUGGUGGGGUAAAGGCCUACCAAGGCGACGAUCCGUAACUGGUCUGAGAGGAUGAUCAGUCACACUGGAACUGAGACACGGUCCAGACUCCUACGGGAGGCAGCAGUGGGGAAUAUUGGACAAUGGGCGAAAGCCUGAUCCAGCCAUGCCGCGUGUGUGAAGAAGGUCUUCGGAUUGUAAAGCACUUUAAGUUGGGUAGGAAGGGCAGUAAGUUAAUACCUUGCUGUUUUGACGUUACCAACAGAAUAAGCACCGGCUAACUUCGUGCCAGCCGCCGCCGU
rnacentral:rRNA from 1 species